GCGGCCGUGGCGUAGCUUGGUCAUCGCAGCGGACUUAUAAUCCGCCAACGCACCCUCCUGAUAUGGGGGAGAACCCCGGUUCGAAUCCGGGCGGCCGCA
rnacentral:tRNA from 1 species